rnacentral:rRNA from 1 species
CCUACGGGGGGCAGCAGUAGGGAAUCUUCCACAAUGGACGAAAGUCUGAUGGAGCAACGCCGCGUGUGUGAUGAAGGGUUUCGGCUCGUAAAACACUGUUAUAAGAGAAGAAUGUCGGUGAGAGUAACUAUUCAUCGAGUGACGGUAUCUUAUCAGAAAGGGACGGCUAAAUACGUGCCAGCAGCCGCGGUAAUACGUAUGUCCCAAGCGUUAUCCGGAUUUAUUGGGCGUAAAGCGAGCGCAGGCGGUUAUUUAAGUCU